rnacentral:rRNA from 1 species
UACGAGGGGGGCGAGCGUUGUUCGGAAUUAUUGGGCGUAAAGGGUGCGUAGGCGGCCUGACAAGUCUGAUGUGAAAUCCCUGGGCUCAACCCAGGGCCUGCAUCGGAAACUGUCGGGCUUGAGUAUGGGAGAGGUGAGCGGAAUUCCUGGUGUAGCGGUGAAAUGCGUAGAUAUCAGGAGGAACACCGGCGGUGUAGACGGCUUUCUGGACCGUAGCUGACGCUGAGACACGAAAGCGUGGGUAGCAAACAGG